UACAGAGGUCCCAAGCGUUGUUCGGAUUUACUGGGCGUAAAGGGUUCGUAGGCGGUUGUGUAAGUCUGAUGUGAAAUCUCCGGGCUUAACCCGGAAAUGGCAUUGGAAACUGCAUGGCUAGAGGGUUGGAGGGGGGACUGGAAUACUUGGUGUAGCAGUGAAAUGCGUAGAUAUCAAGUGGAACACCAGUGGCGAAGGCGAGUCCCUGGACAACACCUGACACUGAGGCACGAAAGCUAGGGGAGCAAACAGG
rnacentral:rRNA from 1 species